AACCUUUACAAUGCACGAAAGUGUGAUAAGGGGAUUCCACGUGCAGACUAUGUCUGCUUUUCUCAAGUUCAAAACCCUUGGGGAAUAAGGGCUGGGCAAGACCCGUGCCAGCCGCCGCGGUAAUACGGGCAGCUCUAGUGGCGUUCGCGAAUAUUGGGCCUAAAGCGUGCGUAGCCUGUUAAUCAAGUUCUUGGUGAAAGCUUGCGACUUAAUCGUGAGAAUUGCCAGGAAAACUGUUUGACUUGGGACCGGAAGAGGUCGGAGGUAUUCUUGGGGUAGGGGUAAAAUCCUGUAAUCCUUAGAGGACCAUCGGUGGCGAAGGCGUCCGACUGGGACGGGUCCGACGGUGAGGCACGAAAGCUAGGGGAGCGACCCGGAUUAGAUACCCGGUUAGUCCUAGCCGUAAAUGAUGUCUGUUUGGUAUUGCUGGGCUUACGAGGCCUCGCAGUGCCGUAGGGAAGCCGUUAAACAGACCGCCUGGGAGUACGCCGCAAGGC
rnacentral:rRNA from 1 species